AGUCACUGACAUUAGAUACCCGUGUAGUCCCAGCCGUAAACUAUGCGCGUUAGGUGUACCGGUGACCACGAGUCACCGGGGUGCCGAAGGGAAACCGUGAAACGUGCCGCCUGGGAAGUACGGUCGCAAGGCUGAAACUUAAAGGAAUUGGCGGGGGAGCACCGCAACGGGAGGAGCGUGCGGUUUAAUUGGAUUCAACACCGUAAACUCACCAGGGAAGACUGUUACAUGAAGGCCGAGAUGAAGACUCUGCUAGAUUUUCAG
rnacentral:rRNA from 1 species